CUUUUUCUCUGUGCAUCCUCAGUGACGCGGGGCACAGCUCUGCCCGGGGGCCUACCAGAGCCCACCUGGACCCCACACUGGGUCAGCCCUGGUGCGGAGGAGGCCGCUGCGCGGCCAGGUCACAGUCGGCACCAGAAGUUUGGCAGAUCUCAGUGAGGCGUUAGUUUGCAUUUCCUUGUGACGGGGUUGUAGAAGAAGGUUAACAAGGUACCACAAACCGGAUGGCUCAAAACAGCGGAUACUGUCUCACGGUUCUGGAGACCUGAAGUCUGAAACAAAGUGGUGAUGGGGUUUUGACUGGAAUGCCAGGCUUAACGUUGCUCAGAAGUUGCUUCUAUGAGGACGUCUCCCAGCAGCUGUCAGUGUUUCCAAUGAGUCAUCGCCAGCCCCUGCAAUGAGCCUCUCAGGCUGGUAAGUUUUGUUUCAGAACCGCUUCCUCAAGCUUCUUUUGCCUUUAAAAGCUUCCUCUUGCCCCAGCCUCCCAGGGAAUGCCUGUGGUCUGUCAUGGCUCACACAUCCUGGUUGAUAAUCCACUGCUGUUCUCCACGGAAUGCCUUCAUUUUGAGAGCUGCUCGCUGCCUGUUGUGGUUUCAGUUGACGGCCCACCGCUGUGUGCAGAGUUCACCAGCCGCUGUGGUGUGCAGUGCAGCAGCUGACCUGCCUGCCUUGUGGUUUUCUAAUCCCAUUGAGGGGACGUCUUAGGUGUUCUCACCAAGAAUGCACAGCAACAGUGCUGGGUGGGCCACAUCCUCCCUCACGUUUGGUGCCACCAGUUUUAUAGAUUUUGGCUACUGUGGGUGUGUGUGGUGGUUUUUGUUGGUGUUUACGACGCAUCUUCCUGGUGCUCGAGUCUGUCGAGCACUUUUUCUUGUGUUUAUUUGCCAUCAUUUGGCGAAGUGUUCAAAUCCUUUGACCGUUGUUUCACCAAGUUGUUUUAUUAUGAAAUUUUAGGGGUUACUUAUUCUGGAUCUCAGCACUUGGAUAAAUAUUUGAGAAUAUUUUUUGCAGUAAGUGACAUCGUUUUAUGUGGAUGAACAGAAGAUUUUAAUUUUGAUAAAGUCUAAUGGAUAUAUGUGAUGUUAGUGUAAUUUGAAUGCAUACAUAUGUAUAUUUAAUGCAUUCUUUUAUGAUGAUUGUGCACUUCAUAUGAAAUGCGGCAACCUUGCCUUGCCAUCCCGGAGGCCUCUGCUUCUCUGAUCUGUGGGUGUCACAGGCACUUCACUUACUCACACCUUAUGGCACGGUUUCUUUUGCUCUAAGCCUGCACGUGUGUUUUAAAGGUAAUUUCUUCCGUUAGAGAAGUCGCGUAGGCUCACCCUGCUAUUUGCCAUUUCUGGAGCUCUUUAUCUCCUUCUUCAUAUCUGCAUUUCCCUCUGGAAUCAUUUCCAUUCAGCCUGAAGAACUCUUCUGCCUGGGACUCCACCUUCUUUUCUAGCAGCUGGGCUCAUUGGGAGCUCUGUCCUCUGGUGGCUCUGGCCAGGGGACGCUGGGUUUUCUCUUAGGGUUUCAGUUGGCCCGUGUGGUGCCAAUGUCAACGUGUCUGUAGGCCAGAGCCAGCAAUGAGCACCCCCUCGGUCUGGCCCUGAGCUCCAAGGCCCCACUCCCACGGGAUCUUGCUGCCAGGACCCCACUCUCUGCAUCUUGUCCAGAGUGUCGAGGAGGGCAGGGUCCAGCGGGAUCUCUCGGCCCUCCCAGGGCUGAGUCUGUGCUCUGACCUUUCCUGGGAGGCACUCAGGGCCAACAGAGCAACAAGGGGCCUUUCCCUGUGGCUCCCUCCCCUCUGGAGAAAAUGGGUCAGACCUGGGUUUCUCCAUAGUCACUGUCCCUAAAAUGAAGCCGGGCUGCCAGAGGCGGUUGCAUCUCCCGGCACCAAGACCCCAGAGUCCCUGUGAGAAAGAGGACCAACGACGAUGGAAGCCUUUCUCUAAUGUGCGCACAGCCAGGCCGCUCCUCUGAAGGCGCUGAGCCGCCUCUAAUCACAGCGCCACACUGGCCACAGGUCGCUGGGUAUAGGAUGAACCCAGCUGUGAAUAGGAUGCAUUUCCUGGGAGGUUUCUGUGAAGUUACUGAACUGCCAAAAGGUAAGCAGUUUUAAUUGAUUUGUGAGUCUUCAAUUAAGCACAGCAGAAUGCUAAUUAAAUAUUCUCUGUUCUUUAAAUAGAGAAUGCUUUAAAUAAUUCAGCACAAUCUUUGCAUAAAUCACACCAUUCAGCUGAGGUGCCUGUCAGCAGUCAAGUGAUUGAGAGCACAAACUGUCCCAAAGACACAGCCCCCUUCCCCCUGGAGACGCGCACAGCCUGCAGAAGAGAUGUCACCUGAUGCAGCGUUGUGGUUUAAAAACUCAUUAUGGGAAGCAUGAGGCUGGACCCAGGGGACCCUGGAGGUGAUGCAGGGGCUUUGGCAGCCUGGAAGCUGUUGGAGGAGGGGCCCUUGGUGGAAGUGGGGACAGUUUGAGCCUCCGGCCUCCAAUUCCCUCCCGCUGGCUUCUGGGCCGCACCUCCAGGAAUCCAGCUAGACCCGCAGGGCUCUGACUCCAGACUUUAUUAAAUGUUUCCUCUAACGGUUCUGGCCAUUCUGCUGGGCCAUUAAAGGCUACCCCAGGGCCUCAGAUAUGAGCGUGGUGUCUGUAUGUGGUCCUUUCAUGGAGGGCAGGAAGCAUCAUAAUUACUUUUUUUUUUAACGGUUUUCAAUUUGUGUUGACAAAGAGCCUUAGUGAAUCUGUUGGAAGAAGAGUGACUUCAAAAUGAACCUGACUCCCUGUAUGUUAGGAGUCCAUAUUCUCUGAUACAGUUAACGUUUUCCUUCCAACCUCUUCACUGUUCAAGCAAAGUGGUAUUUUAGCUAUUCACUGUUUGACACUUUAAUAGGAGUUUUGAUGAGCAAUUUCAGGAUGUGGAAUUGCUACACUGCACCAGGUUCCUGCAGGAGCAGCAGCCUCAGCCUGUGGAUGGGACGUGAGAUCUUGGUGUUUCUCCUGGAGGAAACGCUGUGCUGCUGUGUUGAUGACGGGGCGUGUGUGGGGUUGAUGAUGGGUGAUGGAGUGUGGGGUUGGUGACAGGUGACGGAGUGUGGGGUUGACGACGGGUGAUGGAGUGUGGGGAUGAUGAUGGGUGAUGGAGUGUGGGGAUGAUGACGGGUGAUGGAGUGUGGGGAUGAUGAUGGGUGAUGGAGUGUGGGGAUGAUGAUGGGUGAUGGAGUGUGGGGAUGAUGACGGGUGAUGGAGUGUGGGGAUGAUGAUGGGUGAUGGAGUGUGGGGAUGGUGAUGGAGUGUGGGGAUGGUGAUGGAGUGUGGGGAUGAUGAUGGGUGAUGGAGUGUGGGGAUGAUGAUGGAGUGUGGGGAUGAUGACGGGUGAUGGAGUGUGGGGAUGAUGAUGGGUGAUGGAGUGUGGGGAUGGUGAUGGAGUGUGGGGAUGGUGAUGGAGUGUGGGGAUGAUGAUGGGUGAUGGAGUGUGGGGAUGAUGAUGGAGUGUGGGGAUGAUGACGGGUGAUGGAGUGUGGGGUUGACGACGGGGCGUGGGGUUGAUGAUGGAGUGUGGGGAUGAUGAUGGGUAUGGAGUGUGGGGAUGAUGAUGGGUAUGGAGUGUGGGGUUGAUGACGGGUGAUAGAGGAGUGUGGGGAUGUGAUGGGUGAUGGAGUGUGGGGAUGAUGAUGGAAUGUGGGAUUGAUGACGGAUGAUGGAGUGUGGGGAUGAUGAUGGGUGAUGGAGUGUGGGGAUGAUGAUGGAGUGUGGGGUUGAUGAUGGGUGAUGGAGUGUGGGGUUGAUGAUGGGUGAUGGAGUGUGGGGAUGAUGUUGGGUGAUGAAGUGCGGGGAUGAUGAUGGAGUGUGGUGAUGAUGACAGGUGACGGAGUCUGGGGUUGAUGACGGGGCGUGGGGUUGAUGAUGGAGUGUGGGGAUGAUGAUGGGUAUGGAGUGUGGGGAUGAUGAUGGAUAUGGAGUGUGGGGUUGAUGACGGGUGAUACAGUGUGGGGAUGUGAUGGGUGAUGGAGUGUGGGGAUGAUGAUGGGUAUGGAGUGUGGGAUUGAUGACGGGUGAUGGAGUGUGGGGAUGAUGAUGGGUAAUGAAGUGUGGGGAUGAUGAUGGAGUGUGGUGAUGAUGACAGGUGACGGAGUGUGGGGUUGAUGACGGGGCGUGGGGUUGAUGAUGGAGUGUGGGGAUGAUGACGGGUGACCGAGU
rnacentral:lncRNA from 1 species